UUUCGGUAUUGAAUAGAUAAAAAAAACAGGAAAGACAUCAUGAUGCAGCAGCAAAUUAAUGGUUAAAUGCGGAUGUAACGUUUAAUGUUAUAUCAGUCAUGGGUUAGAGAAAGAAAUAAAAGAGGAGGGCAGAGGCAUGCCCUCUGCUUUCGAGAUCUACGACAUCAGGUUUUUUUUCCCCCUCACCUUCAUUUUUUUUUUUUUUAAUUUUUUUUAUUUGAGAACUUAUUCUUCAAGUCUAUCAAGUCUUCGGGACAGAAGGCUUUUCUCAGAAACUGCAGCACAAAUUUUGUCUUAUCCAGCCAGUCAAUGAAAUUGGUUUCGGUUGCUACAAAUAACAAUAAAAAGGUGUUGUUGCUGCAGUUUAUUUUUCAUAUCAAUUGGAAAAACUCCCAGUCUAACAAGUGUCCAGCAAACUCAUUGUUUUUGUAACUCUCUUUUACAGUUUUAACUUUUAACUUGAUUCAUGCAGUUUUAUUUAGGAUUAGUGAUGCAUUAUUUUCAAGAAGUGCCCCAUCAAUGGAAGCCAUGUAAAAGCGCGAAACAAGGCUCUGAAGUGGGAGCUUAAGAGGCGAAGAAUCGGGGAUUCUCUCAACCAACUAUAUCUUGUAUAGACAUGUUCCAAGCAAUAGCGUCCUUUGCCAUUAACUGGGUAGCCAGGGAGCCAUAAAAGAGGUCCCAUUCUUAGGUAGCUCAGCAUUUCCUUUCCCAACCUUCCCAACAUUUGAAUCAUAAUCAAUGACGAACGUAAAGAGCAGCAUGAACUCAACAGACGUUUUUGUUGGCUCAUAAAUAUAUAGUACAGAUUUUUAAAUUUUGCUGUUGGCCAUUGUUGUCCUCUUUUGUUUUUAUCGAGGCAUAAUUGAAGACACAAGCCCAGUUCCUUCAGACAAUACCUUAUCAUCUCCAGCGAAGGACAAUCUCAUGAAACUGCAACCAACAGAUAAUGAUGAACUUCAGUCCUGUGAUCGACAAAAGUUGAAGAUAUAUGUACACAAUUCUAAAUAUUUUCCAUUAUAAUUGUUAACAUUCAAAUGAUGCAAAACCAUUCAUAUAUAAAAUGCGAACUCUGCCACAAGAUUACAGCA